ensembl:lncRNA
CCCUGUUCCUGCUUCCCAUCGCCCCCUCCCUCUUUUGCUGAGGCUGGAGCUGGGCACUGGGGGCCGCGAGGAGGGGCCGCCGCCCGGAGGUGACGGGCUGCCACGCUCUCGGUUUCCUCCCUGCCUUAAAUAAGAAUAAUCGGCUAAGUCAGCGGGGCUGGGAUUAAAAAAACACUCGUCGCUGGCAGUCUGGCACCCCCAACCGGGACCACGGAAAUCUUCCUCCAGAGGACUGGGGACGUUGGCGUUGGGGGGAAGAUAGGAGCUGGGUGGGGAGCGGCUGGGCCCAGGAUGGCGGGGGCUGGAGCCAGAAGCCCACGGAACUUCUGUUUCCCACGGGACUAGGACAAGCCCCUCAGCUUGCUGAACUUCAGUUUCCCCCUCAGUGGGGUGGGACCAGGGACCAAGCUCCUGUUCUCUAGGGCCAAACCCGCUCUCAAAGCUGUCAGGGAGUCCGGAAGGUUUGAAGGCCUCUGACCAAUGCCCACAGCUUAUCAGGCACAAAGGAGGAUGGCCGAGGGAACAAGUCAUACAGGUACCAUGUGGGUCCCUACAGUCACGCAAGGAGAGGGGAGAAGCACGCCCAGCCCCCUGGUCACAGUGUGUCAGGUGAAAAAGCCACAGCCACUGUCACCUGUGGCCUUGAGUAGAGUGCGUCAGUUUCCUCUUCUGCACACUGGGCCUGUGACGCCUCCCUCCCCUUGACCAAGGACAAGGGUCCUCCCCCUGCAACCUGCUAAAGGGUGCACACAUGUCAGGGUCUGAGUGGCACUUGUUCCCUGCUCUGUGUCGCCCGUGUCCAACUCCCCCACCCCCAGCCCCCAUGUAGCCUCCAGGUUGCCCAACUAAACAGCAGCAGGAGGGGAGGCCAGAAGCUCUUCUCUGGGAGCAGGGAGUGGUCAGAACCAGAGAAGCAGGGCGGGGCAGCCCUGACCUCCUGAGCAAACCUUUGAGGGCGUCUAUGUCCUUUCUCUGCUUGCGAUGCUGCAGGUGGAAAGUGGCUCCACUCCACCGGCCUGCCCCUUCUGGGCUCUGAGGCCCGGGGGUCAGGUCCCGGGUUUGAGCCCUGACCCGGCUUUUUGACCUUAGCCCAGUCCAGUUCCCGUCUGGGAUGAGAGUUCCAAGGUUCCUUUUGGCCCCCACCUGCUUGGGAUCCUUAUUAUUGUUACUAACCCCACAAGCGCUACUGAUCUGUUACUCACAAGCUGCCCGGCAUGCUGGAGCCGCCAGCUCCUUGCGUCCUCCCACAUCCCUCUGUCCGGGGCCCAGAGAGGCAGCCCCAUUUUACAGAUGAGGACACUGAGGCUCUGAGCCAGGACUCGCCCCAGGUCAGGCGGCCGGCCGGUGGCUGAUGGGGGUUCUGGCCCGGUCUGGCUUUGGCUACACAGAGGGUGUCCUCGCUCAGCUCCUCGUGCUUCCCACAGGAACAUCCUAGGCCACGUCACUGCCACCUGGCAGGAAGGUGGGCCCUCGGAGUCAGGGCUGUCCCAGCUUAGUGAGCUCAGGCCCUCCAGGAGCCUCAGAAACGCCAGUCCCUGAUCUGAAGACUUCUCUUCUUUCCGUGUUUUUACAUAAGCCCAGUGAGAAAUCUGUUGGGAAAAUGACUCUCCCCUCCCGGUAUAUCUAUCUGCCACCUCUACUUCCUACAGCCAGUGACACCCUGGCUGGCCUAAAGCAGUGGCUUUCAAGCCUGUGUAGACCCCAGGGGGCCUUGGGGGCGGGGGUGAAGAGGGCCAGGUGAGUGGGCCCUCAGCUGUCACCCGCUUGGCGCAGUAUCGAUCACUAAGAUUUAUUUUGAGAAAGAAUAAGGCACACGGUUGAGACAGGAAGGUGGGUGUAAAAAACCCAGUUUGAAACCCACUGUUGUGACUCAUUAGGAGCCGUUUGGGUCAGUGGAUUGCAGCUUCCUGAAGUGCCCCCCUUACGCAACUUCCCGCCAGCCACCACCCCAAGCGCGAACAAAAACAGAAGCUCAACUUAGGGAGGGCUCUGGGAGGACUCGCCAGGCCCAGAACGCUUCACAGGGUCAUUGCCUUCAGUCCCCAAAAUGGGCCCGCCAAGUGGAUGCUGCUGUACCCACAGUGUGGAUGAGGAAGCUGGGGCCCAGAGACCUUAACUAAUUUGCCCAAGGUCACACAGCCAGUACGAGGCUCACCUAGGACACUCUUGGGUCUGUCUGACUCCAAAACCACGCUCCUGACAACCACCACCCUCCCCUGAGGAUGCAGCACAGUCACCUACUGCGUGCCAUCGGCUCUCACUCACCAUCAGUGUCAAGCUGUCCCCAGGGGUUUCUUUGGGCCCCUGGGGGGGAGGACUCACAGACGCUCGAGAACAGAUCUGAGAACAGGUCUGAGGAGUGGCUGCCGGAGACAGCCAUGGUGUCUGAGCAGAGCUGCCCAUGCUGUGGGCACAGCCAUGCCCUCCACGCACACUCCCCCCCUCAGCCAGGGGCCCCUGCUGCCCCCACGGGGAGUGACAGCUGUGUUUGCCACUCCCCAGUGGAUGUUGUCCCCAAAGUGCCAGAGCCCUGUGUCUCCAACAGGCCCCAAAGCAGGGUCCUGAGGGUCCCCAUCGUCCCACUCCCUUACAUCUCCCCCUCACGUCUGUGCUGGGCUGGGUUCUGGAGCCAGCGCCACCAGGCCACCCCCAAGUCAUGCCUCAUCCCAGGGAAAUCAGGCCAGGCCACUGCGGCCCCUUCUUCCCGAGAGGUGAAGGGCCCCCCAGGAGGAGGGCCCGAUGGAAACCGCCUGGGGUUGUCCAACCACCCAGGCCCAGGCCAGCGUCAGCUCUGCGCUUACAAAGUCAGUGUUGCCGACAGUGGGUGGCGGUGGGAGAGAGGACACAGCAGAGAGACACCAACUUGCCUUUCCACAAGCUGGAGACACACACCGGCCUGGGUUUCAGCCUCUCGGUGUCCGGCAGGUGAGGGGUGAGAUUCCUGCUCCCUGAGUGUGAGCGAGUGGGUGGAAUCUCUUUGGAGGUGGGGAAACCAUUUUCACCAGUUAGCUGGUGCCGGCCCUGCAGGGUCUGCUCCCUGGAGCUGGAACAGCAGCUUCCAACCUGGGAGCAGAAGCAGCAGCAGAGGCCCAGGCAAAGGUGUGGGCAGUGAUGGCACUGGAGGGGAGGGAACUCAUGUCUGGUGAUUCAUACACCCCACCUUUAGGGAGAAAGGUAGAGAUUUUCCUUAUCAUUACCAUUAGAGUGGGUGGUUAGAAAUGUUUAGAAUAAAAUUCUAAAUUACUUAUUUAUUUUUUAUUUUUCUGCAGGAGAAGAUUUGCCCUAAGCUAACAUCUGUUGCCAAUCUUCCUCCUUUUUUCUUCCUCUCCACCCCCUCAAAGCCCCGGUACAUAGUUGUGGAUAGCUGUAAGUCUCUCUGGUUCUUCAGUGUCAGCCACCGCCACAGCAUGGCUACUGACAGACAAGUGGUGUGGUUUGGCACCCGGGAACCGAACUGGGGCCACCAAAGCAGAGUGUGCUGAACUUUAACCACUAGGCUGUCAGGGCUGGCUCAAAACAUUAAAUGUUUAGAAUCUGCAGAAGGACAGGCAACCAAACGUUAACCAUAGUCAUCUGUGGGUGAGGGGCGUUGGUGAUUUUCAUCUUCUUGCUUGUGGUUUCCAGUGUUGCUUGAAUUUAUUUAUUUAUUUUACAAUGAAGGUGUAUCGUCUUUUUCCAGGAACAAAAGGGACGUUACCCCAAAAAGAAAGAAAAUUUGAAAAUCAAUGAGACUAACGGUGGUCAAAAACCGAGAUGCUCUUGCAAAGAGAUGGAGCAGAGAUGAAAACAACAAAGGAGAAAAGUAACAGGCGGAUGGUUCUGCCACUGGAGGAGCCGAAGCACUAGACGCGAGGAAGGGAAGACGAGUUUCAGAAACUCGCCAAAAGAAAGCUCUGGGGGGAACAUGAGAGCCUUUGAGAGGGACCAGUAAAGAAAGGAUCCGUGAGGUGUCCAGCAGGGAGCUGGGAUCCUGGAACCCAAGAGGACUCCACCCAGGCUGGGACCGGGGUUCAAACGCUGCUUGCUGGGCAGCUUCAGCAGAACUUUGCAAACGGCCUGGACACCCAUCGGGGGCACUGAUUACGUACAGGUGGAGGCACCGCCAGGUGGGAGAGCAAGAGGCUGGACAGACCCCCGCCGGCUUCUUCAAGGAGUGGCCGAGAACAACUGUAUGUCCACAAGGCACGUCAACACCCCUGCUUGUAAACCGGCCGUUAGCGCGGCUCACCGUGGCUGCUCUGGGAAGGAGCGGGGGGCUUGGGUAGGAGGGGGAGUCAUUCCAGCCUCAAACCCUUUUCUCUCUGACUCAGUUCACUGUGAGCAUGUCCUGGAGACAGCUGUCCACUGGCCUUCGUCCCACUCGCAUGGUGAGAAGAAACUUCCGGGGCUUACCCAUGGUUCUCCUCUCCGUCUCAGGCGUGGGGUGAAGCCAUGUGACUGGUGCUGGCCAGUGGAGUGUGGGAGGCAGGGACGUGAUGCUCUUUCCCUGCCUCGGGGACCCAGAGAUGGAGGCGCCACCAGCGGGAGGCAGCCUGGAUCCCUGGGCCUUCGCGUGGAGGGCAGUUGCCCUGGAGAAGCUCCUGGACCCACGGCAGACUUUGCUGGAUGCAGAACAGACUUGUGCUGUGUGAGACACUGCGAUGUGGGGCUCGCUCGUUACGCAGCACAACCGAGCCUUGCUCACCGAUACAGACGUGGAAAACCACAUUCUGGUUCAAGGGAAGCCCAGAGACCUUGGACAAGUCUCUUGACUCCUCCAGGCCUCAGUUUCCCCAGGUGUACUGUCAGGCAAGGGGUCUUUUCUCCUCUGACUAGGGCCUGUGCUGCUCCUGUUCCCAAACCCCACACGCCUGGGGCAUAUCUGCCAGGACUAAGGACUGCUGGGUGCUGAGUGCUUCCUGGACGCCGGCCUCCGCUGGACCACCUUGCAGGCAUCAUGGAAUCCUCGCAGUGGCCCCAGAGGGAGGCACCAUCAUCAUCCCCAUUACCCCGUGAGGAAACUCAGGCUCCGGGAGGGGAGGACACUUGCCCGGGAAUACGGCAUCUGUGAUUCUUAACUGCUCUAAUGACAACUCCCAUCUGAUAUUUUAAUUUAUUUCUUGUAAAUGCAACUUAAAAGAAAGCCCACUGUUGACAACUUGAGAGAACUUAGAAUACGAUUUUUUUUAAAUUUGCCAUCGUAACCAUUUUUAAGCGUACAGUUCAGUGGCAUAACGUACAGUCACAUUCUUGUGCAACCAUCACCACCAUCCGUCUCCAGAACUCUUUCUGUGUGUGUGAGGAAGACUGGCCCUGAGCUAACUUCUGUUGCCAAUCUUCCUCUUUUUGCUCGAGGAAGAUUGUCGCUGAGCUAACAUCUGUGCCCAUCUUCCUCUAUUUUAUGUGGGAUGCCAACACAGCAUGGCUUAAUGAACGGUGCCAGGUCCACAUCCGGGAUCUGAACCCAGGAACCCCAGCCGCAGAACGGAGCACACGGACUUAAGCACUACGCUGUGGGGCCAGCCCUUCCAGAACUCUUUUUAUCUUGAGAAACUCUGUACCCAUUAAACAAAGCUCUCCAUCCUGCCCCUCCCCCCCGCCCUCACAGCCCAGGUCUUGGCAUCCAACCUUCUCCUUUGUUCUCCUCUCUGUGAGUUUGCCCAUUCUGAGUACCUAAUAUAAGUGGAAUCAUACAGUAUUUGUCCUUUUGUGUCGGGCUUAUUUCACUUAGCACGUGUCCUCAAGGUUCACCCGUCCUGAAGCGAGUGUCAGAAUUUCCUUCCUUUUUGAGGCUGACUGGUACUCCGCUGUAAUGUAUACUCUACACCACGUUUUGUUGGUCCCUUCAUCUGUUGAUGGACUGUUGGGUGACUCCCCCCCUUUGGGCUAUUGUGAAUGAUGCUGCAGUGAACACGGGCGCGCAUAUAGCUUUCAAUUCUUUUGGAUACAUACCCAAAAGUGGAAUUGCUGGAUCAUAUGGUGAUUCUAUUUUUAAUUUUUUGGAGAAACUCCAUACUGUUUUCCGUAGCGGCUGCACCAUUUGACAUUCCCACCAACACUGUACGAGCUCCCAAUUUCUCCACAUCCUCGCCAACACUUGUUACUUUCUGGGUUUUGACAGUAGCCAUCCUAACAGGUGCGAGGUGGGGUCUCACUGUGGUUUUGGUUUGCGUUUCCCUGAUGAUCAACAAGGGAAGCAGGAUUUUUUAAAUGCCACCGGUGAGUCUAGAGUGGUGCAGACACCUAGGUCUGUUUCCACGGGAGGGAGCAGGGGCCGGGGUGCUGUGCUACUCGGGAGGGAUGCUGUAGCCGCAGCUCAAAGUCCUCGGCUCCCAAACAGGUGACUGGGCCUGUGCUCCCGGGGCUGCAGUGUGACCCGUGCCCCAGCGGACAGGCUGGGAUCCCAACUUCUCCAGAACCUCAGCUGCCGUGGGAUGUUGCAAGCCCAACUUCCCCCGCUGGGCCUGAGGAGGAACUGAGCUGGGCCUUUCCAGCCCAAGCUGACCCUGUGACUGUCAGUUCCCACCCAGGCCUGGGACACCGAGCAGAGAGGACGCGGCCCCACAGCGCAGCAGGAAGUGGGGUGAUCUGCACGCCCCCUGGCCUUCCACUUCCGGACAAGGGCAGCUUUGUGUGUGGGAUGCGAGCAGGGACUUAGGAUCCAGACAGACUCAGUCCGAGUUCCAUCUUUGCCGUUCACCAGCUGUGUGGCCUUAGAUAAGUCACUUCCCCUCCCAACCCCCCCGUUUUCUCAUCUGUAAAACGGCUGAAAUGGUGCUUGGCGCAUGGUCAGCGCUCACGAAGCACUGCGUAUAAUCACCAACAUCAUCAUCCUCCUCCUUCUCAUCAACAUCAAGAAGCAUGACCAGGUCACGCCUGUGUCAAACAGUCCAUGGCUCCCCAUUGCUGGCAGGAAAAAGUCUACCACACUCUUAUGGGCUCGUGGGCACUGUCUGGACUGGCCCCUGCUGACAUGUCCAACCUCCUCUUCCCUCACUGGUCACAUUCCAGUCACCUGGGCUGCCUCCUGUUCCGCAAACACCCAACACUUUUUUCUGCCACAGGCCCUCUGCACAUGCUCUUCCUCCUGCCUGAAAUGCGCUUCUUCCUGGACAUCCCAGCCCCGGUCCACAUGGGUGCCCUGGGCCCUCACAGCCCUAAAUGCUCGAACGGUGCCUACAGGUGCUCACAGUACUGAAUUGUGAAAUUAUUGGAGCAACGUCAGCCUCCCCACAAGAGCUCUGUGAGGCCAGGUUCACACUCCCUGUCACAGUGCAAGGACCAAGGACAGGGCUGACCCGGGUGCCCCCAGAAUGUGAGUCAUGUUGACUGACUGAUUCCCAGAAUCUCCCUGAUUUUGGAAACUCAGAUUCUUUUCAACAAAGACAAUCCAUUACUUAUAUAACCAAAUAAGCUUCAACUUUCAUACCUCUGUAAGACUUUUCCACGCAUUGAAUGAACAAAUCUGAGAAAACCCUCAGCUACCUCCCGUGUCCUAAUUUUUCAGCUCAGAAAAACAUGGUCACGGCGCUCUGAGCAGCUGCCCACGGUUCCCGCUGUGCCUCUCGCAGCCCAGCCUCGGGCCGUCCCUCCUUCAGCACACACCGAGCCUCCUGCCGGUCCGCCGGUCACCCCUGGCUUGGGGCUAAACACCGACCGUGAGUAAUGGCAGGUUGCAGAGGGCCGCGCAGACGCAUUUUCAGCCCCGUCAGCAAGAUCAGCGAGAGCCGUGGUGGCCCCGGGCCCAGGGCUGGGUCCUGACUCAGCCAGUCCACACACAGCAGCCCCCUUGCCCCCAACCAGCUAGGGAGCGAAGGUGCAGACUCCAAGGGGGCCACCGACUGGAGUCCCCGCCAGAUAUGUCACAAAGCCCAUGCCUUUGUGGAGGCCGCCACCUGCCACUUGUCUGUUUCGACAGCUAUUUGCAGAGCGAAUGUGUGUGCGGCCGGCCGGGGUGCGGGAGGCCCAGCGCAGACCCAGUGCCGCCCUCCUGCAGCAGGGGCAGGAACCUGCACUGAGACGGGGCGUGGACCUCUCCCUGCGGCCUCCACUCCGCUCUGCACCUUCCUUCGACUUCAGGCACGUCCGAGUGCACACGUGGGGCUGGGGUGCGGCUUCUCUUGCUCCUUCUAGCCAGACCCUCCCCUCCACCCCUCCCAUCUCCACCACUCCCCCCUCCACCCCACACCCACAGGAGGUUUGAGGCCGUGGAGCUUUUGGUCAGGAGCGUGCAGAGGCUCAAGGCCAGGCCUCGGAAGGCUGAUGGAUGCCGGGGGCUCACAACCAACUUCCAACUUCACUCCUGGACACGCUUCGUCCAUCUGGAGACAUCUCGUUGGUGGGGAGGACCCCAGAGCUCAUGACCACUGGAAAGUGUCCUCCCAUCCGGGACUAGAAGUCACCUUUGGGGACAGGAUUGGGGAGGAGAAGCACAGUCGCUUCUUAAAAAUGAGUCUCAUGUGUCUGAGUAGCAGGAGCUGGACACCCUGGUCCAGAGGCCCCACGACCGUGGACUAGAACGGGUGAAGGUCAAGGACAAUGAAGGUCAAGCCAACUAGAUUUCAAAUACAGCUCAAGAGGAGUCCACUGUGAGAUAUAAAAAACGCACCAUCCAUCAGCCACAGUAAAGGGCCUAGAACUCUGAUGUCGACACACCAAGGAGGGGACAUCUUUUUUAUGCGCGGAAGGAUUCUUCUGGUGCUAACAUCUGUUGCCCAUCUUCCUGUCUUCCUCUUUUCUUUUUUUUCUUCUUCUCCCCAAAGCCCCCCAGUAUGGCUGUGUAUCGUAGUUGUAAAUCCUUCUAGUUCUCUGUGUGAGCCACUACCACAGCAUGGCAACUAACAGACGGUGGUGUGGUUCCACGCCACGGAAAUGAACCCAGGGUGCAGGCGUGAGAGAGCCAAACUUUAGCCACUAGACCUUCAGGGCUGGCUUGAGGGGACUUUUGUAAGUCAAGGUCCGUGGGGAUCUUUCCAGUGACUCUUUAGGGUGUGGAUCAACUACACCACGUGUUGUCUCUGCUCUGUGGAUGUGUCCCCAUCUCCUAGGAGACAUACCUCCUCCAGGGCAGGAACCACCUCUGGUUCAUCUUUGCACCCUGAGAGCUCACUGGGUACCCUGCAGGCAGGACCCAAAGUCCCUAUGGGGUGUCUUCCCCACCACGCUGAGCCCCUGCUGGAAGCAGGACUUCACUCUGUUCAUCAGCAAAACAGGGGGCCGGGGCCAAAGCCAGGCUCAUUGGUUUCUCACUGAGUUUCUCACCAUGCCUAGCGUGCAGGACACGCCCACAAGCGGGGGAUCACCAUCCUUCCCAGGGCUGAUUGCAACACUGGGUAUGUGGCGGGCGCUCAGGUACUGGUUGGUGUCCAGACAGGCUUUCUUUAAACCAACAUUUCUUAAAGUAUAGGGAUAAAAAUCAUAUAUUAUUUGUGCAAAAUGUGGUUUGUUUUCUUUUUUAAGAGAAAGCUUGACUUCCUUCUCCCCACCUAUAGCCAGGAAUCGAGAUAGAUACUUCCCAUGCAUGCCCAUUUUACAGAUGAGGAAGCCAAGGCUCAGAGAGGUCAAGUGAGGUCCCCAAAGUCACUCAGUGGCAGAACCAAGCUCUUAACCAUUAGGAUCUUGGGUUUAUAGCCCUUGGCCUCUCUGGGACGUUUGCUUAAAGCCCCAGAACGAGGGGCACUAUCACAGAGAUAAGCAACAGUGAUCAACUGCACAUAUGAAUUAACUGGGUCAUGGUCACAUAGUAAAGGCACAUCCACUUGAAAGAUUUCUCUGAGUGGGACCCAAUGUGACAAGGAAGGAAAAUUGAAUCAGAUCACACGAAAAAACCGGGCAACUCCGGGAGAGUGUGACCUGCCCAAGACGGAGCUAACUCUGGCCAACUCUCCUCUGAUUUCCCAGGAAGCAAGGAAAAGGUGAGGAGAGGGCAGGGUCCGUUCAGAAGCCUCUCAGGUUUUAGUACAAGGCCUGAGAACCCUGGGUGGGGGUGGGGUGGGGGGAUUCGUGCUCUGUGUCUUUCUUCAGGGGUCUCAGAGAGGGUCUCUGAAGCAGCUGUGAGAGGUGGUGACUAGAAUCUGGGCUCUGGAGCCACAGAAACCUGGGGUUCUCUCCUGGCAAGCUGUGCGACCUCCCUGACCUUCUGUCUCUUCAUCUGAAAUGUGUCCAGCAAAGCUUUACUGUCCAGGUGCUCUCUGUGGAGCAGGUGCUGGGUGCCGAGGACUCAGCAAUGCCUGGGGGAGACCAGAGUGGAGCCUUCACCAACCUCACUGCCUAACGGGAGGCAGCAAAUGUGGAGACAAACCAAUUCUGAGACCCGCUGGAAAGAAAGAACACAGAGAGGAGAAGCAUCUCUAGCCCAGGCUGGUGGGGAGGCUCCGAGGGUGCAGCCACGUCAAGGCUGAGCCCAGCACCGAGCUCGGGGCGGGCAUGCGGUCAGGGACAGCUGCUUUUGUUGCUGCUAUUAUUACUGUAACCUGAAUAAAACCGGGCCCAGUCUCAUCACCAUGUCACAUUCAAAAGAAACACCAGUGUGACACCCUCAAAUCCUUGAAAAGCAGUUUAAAUCUUCCAGAAAUCUCUCAAAUACACCCCAAAGGGGAGUCCCUCUGCACACCACACACACAAGCCUUCUCGAGACUCUGCAUCAGCGUGUCUUCCCUCCACCUCCUUCAUUUCAUCCUCUCGGAGAGGCAGGGCUGCUGGGCCUGGCCGUGGGGGAUGGGGCAUUGGGCAGGCCAGGCUCUGCCCUCACCAGCCAUGUUGCUUAACUGCUCUGUGCCUCAGUUUCCUCAUCUGCAAAACCUGGAUAACAAUAGCACGCCUUCGAGGAGUCACGAGUGGUUGUGGGCACUCAGUGAGGUAAGGGCUCUAAGUGGUCAAGAUAAGCAUUCACCACGAGGCCACCCAAGUGGGAACUCUUGUGAUUUCCUUCCACUGCCCUUUGCAUCUCGCCCCAGUGAGGAGCUCCAGCAGGGUCUCUGGUCCCUCGGUCUGGGCUUUCUAGGUCCUGGUACAACACAGCAGCUCCACCCACCACCCCACCAGCCCAGUGCUGGCAGGCACACUCUGAAACUCCCUCUUCCUUAGGAGUCACACACAGGGGCAGCCUCCCCUGGGCAUCACCUUAGACUGUCAGUGCUCAGAGGGCAGGGCCGGGUGUUCCCUGAUGCACUGGGGAAAGACAGCUCCUCACCAACCAAGGCCACCGCUUGCCCCACGCCUGCGCAGCAAAGCACAAGGUGGUUCCCACAUCCUCCUGGCUCCCCAGGCCACAGGGUAGGCCGUGCAUCAGGGACCGGGCUGUCUCCCUUCCCGAGGGGCCCUGGGCCAGGGCCUUGCCAGGCGUGGGGCCCUGCCCUCACAGGGCUCACAGUCCUGCAUGCAAGGCAGAUAAUCGGGGCCUGAGUAGGAGGUGCAGUUCACCGAGCACUGUCACCGACACCCCCAGAGGUCAGAGGGCAGGAGUCCUUAGCCCCAGUUCACAGAUGGGGAGACCAGCUCUAAGAGAGAAAGCGACAAUUCCUGGCUGGGACUAGAGCCCGCCUCUUCUGACUCCUGGCUCAGGUGAGAGAAUCAGCAGACUGGGUCUGCGGCACCCCUGGCAUCUGCUGAGCGCCCAGGCGGGCCUGCUAUCAUCACCCCCAUUUUACAGAUGAAGAAACUGAGGCCGAGGGAGACCACAACAUCCCUCUAGUCUUGCGGUGCUUGUCUAUCUCUGGGGAUGGGACGAGCCUGAGGCGCCGAGAUGCCCUCCCCAGGCCGGGCAGGAAACAGCCAGGAGCGGGGUGACUUGGGGUGAAGGAAGGAGGGGAGCGGGGACGGCUGGCGGAAGCCCACACCAGGCAGGGAAAGGCGGAGGAAUGUGGGUGGGGUUGGGGUGCGCCUCUCCAGGAGGCCGGCCUGGAAGGGCCCCAGGGCCCCAGGCAGCCCCCUCACUCCCUCGGGGUGAGACCCUGACUUCCCGGAAGACACCGCCCCCCAGCUGGGCGGGGAGAAGGACACUACCUCCGGCCGCCCAAUCAGACGCACGCCCAGUCUGAUGGGGGAGGCAGCCGGGGCGGAGGGCGCCCAGGGCCCUCCCGGAGGCGCCCCGGGACCUGCCCCGACUCGGCGGCCCACCGCCCCGCCGCCCACCCCCAGCCUCAUUAGCGCCGACGCCCGUCGUCCUCCCCUCGGCUUCCGGUGGCUCCAGAAUUUAAAGGUUAAAUCCUAACCUCGUCUCAGCAGUUUCUCCCGGCUUUGCCUACCCAGCGCCAGUUGCUGGUAAUUAUAUGCAUCUCCGAGCAGCCAAUCAGCUGUCAGACUGACAGAUACUGAUCUUUUCGUUUUAUUUUUAGCUCUGUGCUUCCCCCUCUAGUUGCAAAAAAAAAUUCUGUUUGUUCUGUAUGCUGCUGCCUGGCUCCCAGCUCUGCAGCCGGCUCUCAACUCCGCCAGCCAGGCGGGAGCAGGAAGCCGGAGGGGCUGGAGCGUCCUGUCCUUCCAGAAAGGGGGGAACAAAGCCCCGGCUGCCCCCCAGGUGCAGCCCCCGGGCUGCGGUGGGAAGGUCAGGAGGCAGGUGCUGCCUGCACAGGCGCCUUUGGAGGCUAAGGGAGCCCGAUGGGAGCUCGGCUUGGCCUUGCGGCCACGCAGGGGAGGGAAGCGAGUCAUCGCAGCGGCUGGAGGGUGGGAGACAGAGACAGAGACAGAGAGACAGCUGGAGAGAGAGACAUACCGGAGCAGUGAGAAACCUAGACUGAAAAGAGGAAAGAGAAGGGAGUGGAAGGAAAAAGACAAGCUCUGGCCCCUAGAAAAAUUCUCCCCCCGAAUGAAACAAAAAUUCUGUUCUGGGCGAGCACUCGACUGGGAGUCCGGAGGGGGCUUUCCAGCCAGGUAUGCAGGGCAUGAAGGAUGAGUGAAAUACUCUUCAGAGUCCUUUUGUGGGUCAUUCUGGAAGGUUCUAUGGACCUCCCUGGAGGUACCAGGAGGCCAGCAGGUGUGGGGGCCCAGCUGGUAGGAGGCCCCUGUUCACGCAGGCUCUCUGGAAGGAGAGGAGAAAUCUGAGGGCCAGGCAAGUGCUUAGGGCCCAGAGUCUCCCAGAUAGCCGAGGGAGGGAAACGACUGUGAAGUUUUCUCCCAUCAUCACGGCACUCUACAGUUGGCAAAGCACUCCCCCUUGCCCCGAGAGCCUCCAUUUCUUCCCCAUGGUGAGCCCCAGGAGGAAGUGACAUAGGGAUCGGGAGGCCUGGCCCGUCACCUCCGUCCUGAUUGACCCUGGCGGGAAGGGAGGCAGUGUAGCAUAAUGGUUUGGGCUUUGCAGCACCACCAUCGAGGGUUCAAGCCCAGGGCUGCUGUUUACCACCUCUGUGAGCCCGAGCGAACGCCCUGAGCUCUCUGGGCCCAGUGCCUCCAUCUGGAAGGUGCCCAAGAAAACGGGAUUCUGGAAACAGUGCUCUCAAGGCCUGUCCGUGCUGUGAAACUACAAAGACCACAGCAUUUCAGAAGCCCUCCCCGCCUGCUCAUGAGGAGCUUCAGCAGUGAACCAGCUCCAGGCCCCGCCCUCAAGAAGCUGUUUGUCAGGGAGAAAAACAGAUAGAUACAGCUGACCCUGAAUGCUGGUCUUCAGACCCCAGGCAACGGCCAAAGUAACGGGAGGCCACAGGAUGGAACAAGAAGACGGCAGACUACAGACAUAAUGAAAUGAGGCAAGCUGGGGUGGAGGGGCCUGAGUGCAGGCGUGAAGCCCAUAUUGGCUGUGAAUCGGGGUCCUGGAGAAGAUGCCCUGAGUUCAGGUGGGCUCCAGCACAGGGCCGGCCAUGGGCCCUCUCCAGCCUCAGGGAUCCCAGGCUGAAGCCAGUGGGGAAACUUGCUAUUUUAAAGGAGACCUGAAAUGGAUUCCUUCAGAACGAAGAGAAGCUCCCUGGAUGGGGGUAAUAGAAAUGCUGCAAUCGUCAGGAUGGGCUAAUGGAUGUAACAAACAGCCCCCAAAGAAAAGUUUAUUUGAGCCAGCCCUGAUGGCCUAGUGGUCAAAGUUCGGCGUGCUCUACUUUGGUGGCCCGGGUUUGGUUCCCUGUUGCAGAACCACACCACUCGUCUGUCAGUUGCCACGCUCUGGUGGCAGCUCAUAUAGAAGAACUAGAAGGAUUUACAACUAGGAUAUACAACCAUGCACUGGGAACUUGGGGAGGAAAAAAAAAAGAGGAAGAUUAGUAACAGAUGUUAGCUCAGGGCAAAUCUUUCUCAGCAAAAAAAGAAAAAAAAAAGAAAAAAAGUGUCUUUCUUGCUCACAUUACAGUGUAUGUGGGCUGGUGGGGAGGGGCCAGGGUCCUGCUCCCCACAGUCACUCAGGGACCCAGGCUCCUUCAACUUGUGGCUCUGCAUGUUUUAGGGCCUUAUCUUCCUCUGCAGUAAUCUUGUGAAAGGGGAAAGGGAGAGUGUGGAGGAUGGUGUGGAAGGAAUUCUGUGGACCAGGCUAAAAGUGUUGGGGGGGGAGCACAUCACCUCAGCUCAU